AGAGUUUGAUCAUGGCUCAGAAUGAACGCUGGCGGCAUGCCUAACACAUGCAAGUCGAACGAGAUCUUCGGAUCAAGUGGCGCACGGGUGAGUAACGCGUGGGAACCUACCUUUUAGUACGGGACAACGUUUGGAAACGAACGCUAAUACCGUAUAAGCCCUCCGGGGGAAAGGUCAGCCGCUAAAAGAGGGGCCCGCGUCUGAUUAGCUUGUUGGUAGGGUAAUGGCCUACCAAGGCGACGAUCAGUAGCUGGUCUGAGAGGAUGAUCAGCCACACUGGGACUGAGACACGGCCCAGACUCCUACGGGAGGCAGCAGUGGGGAAUAUUGGACAAUGGAGGCAACUCUGAUCCAGCAAUGCCGCGUGUGUGAUGAAGGCCCUAGGGUUGUAAAGCACUUUCAACGGUGAAGAUGAUGACGGUAGCCGUAGAAGAAACCCCGGCUAACUUCGUGCCAGCAGCCGCGGUAAUACGAAGGGGGCGAGCGUUAUUCGGAAUUAUUGGGCGUAAAGGGCUCGCAGGCUGCUUGAACAGUUAGACGUGAAAUCCCCGGGCUCAACCUGGGAACUGCGUUUAAUACUAGCAAGCUAGAGAAAUAGAGAGGAAAGUGGAACUCCCAGUGUAGAGGUGAAAUUCGUAGAUAUUGGGAA
rnacentral:rRNA from 1 species